rnacentral:rRNA from 1 species
UCGAGCGGUAACAGGGGGUGCUUGCACCCCGCUGACGAGCGGCGGACGGGUGAGUAAUGCUUAGGAAUCUGCCCAGUAGUGGGGGAUAGCCCGGGGAAACCCGGAUUAAUACCGCAUACGUCCUACGGGAGAAAGCAGGGGAUCUUCGGACCUUGCGCUAUUGGAUGAGCCUAAGUCGGAUUAGCUAGUUGGUGGGGUAAAGGCCUACCAAGGCGACGAUCCGUAGCUGGUCUGAGAGGAUGAUCAGCCACAUCGGGACUGAGACACGGCCCGAACUCCUACGGGAGGCAGCAGUGGGGAAUAUUGGACAAUGGGGGCAACCCUGAUCCGGCCAUGCCGCGUGUGUGAAGAAGGCUUUCGGGUUGUAAAGCACUUUCAGCGAGGAGGAAGGCCUUAAAGUUAAUACCUUUGAGGAUUGACGUUACUCGCAGAAGAAGCACCGGCUAACUCCGUGCCAGCAGCCGCGGUAAUACGGAGGGUGCAGGCGUUAAUCGGAAUUACUGGGCGUAAAGCGCGCGUAGGUGGUUAGGUAAGCGAGAUGUGAAAGCCCCGGGCUUAACCUGGGAACGGCAUUUCGAACUGUCUGACUAGAGUGUGGUAGAGGGUAGUGGAAUUUCCUGUGUAGCGGUGAGAUGCGUAGAUAUAGGAAGGAACACGAGUGGCGAAGGCGGCUACCUGGACCAGCACUGACACUGAGGUGCGAAAGCGUGGGGAG